AGAGCCAAGGGCCAGCGCCUGCGCCCUGACCUCCCCACCGCAAACCUGCGGCUGCUGCCCUUCUCCUCCAGCUGACUCAAGAGCAUCCUGGGAGAUAGAGAAUAAUCAAAGGAAAAAAGAGGAGAGAACAGAGCAGAUAUGAAAGUGGAAAAGAAAUAGAAGGGCAAGGAGGAAGAGACAGAAAGAAGGAGGCAGGAGGAGCAAAAGAGAAAAACAGGAGUGUACAGUGUUGGGAAAAAAAAGGUCUGAAAGCACUCAAGGUGAAAUCUAUUACAGGAUGAACCAGAGAAGACCUGAAGUCUGAAUAAUAGUCAGUUAUGACUUUGAACUCUUAAGCACCUACUUCUUGCAUUAUGUGAGUGUGUUUAAAAAUGC
rnacentral:lncRNA from 1 species